AUAUUCAUAGAUUGUGAAACUGCAAACAAACACACAUGCUCAUUAAGAAAAUUUGAGACUAAACAAAUGUCAUGUUUUGCCAAUGCAAAUCAUGUCUCAAUAUAUGAAUCUAGUGACACAAAACUUGCCUGUGGGCUAAAGUCCUACUCAAUUAGAUUCAUCAUGCAACUUUAUGAUAAAACUAUUAAAUCAUGUUCUUUUCCUUAAUUCCUGUGGGUAAAUUAAGAAAUAUAAUUUAAUAUUUUAUCCUAAUUAAUCAUACAAAUAUAACAAAAUUCCUGUGGGUAGAUUUCAUCACAUUACAUAUGAUUAAUCACAAUUAAUAUUUCUAAUGUGAUUAUAAAUUUAGUAUAUAAUUUUACUCAAUUAAAGAUGCUGUGGCUAUUCUCUAAUUUAAUAAAAUUAUAUUAAUCACUUAACAUUAAAAAAUAAUCCUUGCAUAAACAUACUUAAUAAUGCAAAUGUGCUCAAUAUUGAAUCAUAAAAAAUUACAUGUAUACCAAUAACAUUGCACGUAUAUUCAUUAAACAUGUAAUAAACUUUAAAGGAUUAAAUCCAAUGCAUACCAGUAUUUAACAUAAUAUUGCAUGUUCAACCUAACUUAAGAGACAAACAAUUUUUAAAAAGUUUGUGCAUAAAUGAUUUAUCCUUCAGAAGUUAUAAAUACACGUAAACUGCAAUUAAUAACCAAUUAAAUUGCAGUAGCUUAGCGGCAAAGGGAGUCCUUCCAUGCUUGUAGGGUGAGGGUUCGAAACCAGCAUAAGGCGUUUUCGUUUCAUUUAUACUUCCUUUUAAUUAAUUAAAACGAAAACAAACAACAAAAGGCAGCAACAAGAUUCGAACCCAAAACAAUAAGGUAAUACACAUCACAUCUACCACUAGACCAAGUCGUGCUUUGUUUAAUAUUGUUAAUUUAAAAUGUAUAUUAACAAUUCCAACACAGUAAACAAAACCCACAAGACUUCGUCUUCAACCUCCAGCAGUGGUAAAAAAAAAAUAUAUUAUUACCUCAAUUUCGAAAAACCCACACAUUAUAUGCAUUUUAGACACCCAAAAAUACGUUUUAAAUCAUAGAAAAAUUAGAAAACUCACAUCAUUCCUAAUUUUAAUGUUAUUUUGAAUUAAGGAGGCUUAAAACAUAACACCCAUAUACUCAGAAAAUAAACUCCACAUAGGAACGACCCAAUAAGCAAGACAGAGGUACAAAUAGGCUCUCAUACCAAAUGUAAAAAUAUACAUACACUGAUCUAAACAUGCAAAUAAAUUUAAAUAGCAUAUUUAGAUCAAACAGCGGAAAUUAAAAGGAAUUACAAGCGUACCUCCAGCCAUUGCAAAUCGAACGGGAAGCGGCUCACACACGAACCUGAAAGAUAGUUUUGUUCUUCCAGACCCUUACUCACUCUGAAGUGUAUUUUUUUCUGAAUAGAGAAGUGAGUUUGGUGAUACAAAACUGAGAGCACCCCAUCCUAUUUAUAGAGUCUGUCCAUCACAGAGCUCUCUCAACUUGUUAUCUCAACUUUGUUAUGUUAUCAGAACGUGAGAUAGGGAGUUAUCAGACGUGAGAUAAGAAGUUAUCAGUACGUGAGAUGAUGGGUACGUGAUUUGUUACUGAAGGUGGUUGCAAAUAUAUUUUGCAAAGAUAUGGGAUGAAUGUGGAUGAAAAAUGGACCAGAUUCAAAAUAACUAAUUUUUUUAAAAAUAAUAAAAUUAAUU
rnacentral:lncRNA from 1 species